rnacentral:rRNA from 1 species
UAGUCCACGCCGUAAACGAUGGAUACUAGUUGUUUGGAUUUAUCUGAGUGACUAAGCGAAAGUGAUAAGUAUCCCACCUGGGGAGUACGUUCGCAAGAAUGAAACUCAAAGGAAUUGACGGGGGCCCGCACAAGCGGCGGAGCAUGUGGUUUAAUUCGAUGAUACGCGAGGAACCUUACCAGGGCUUAAAUGUAAAGUUGCAUUAGUUAGAGAUAGCUAUUUCUUCGGACUACUUACAAGGUGCUGCAUGGUUGUCGUCAGCUCGUGCCGUGAGGUGUCAGGUUAAAGUCCUAUAACGAGCGCAACCCCUACCGUUAGUUGCCAGCAUGUUAAUGAUGGGGACUCUAAACGGGACUGCCGGUGCAAAACCGCGAGGAAGGUGGGGAUGAACGUCAAAAUCAAUCAACGGCCCUUACGUCCUGGGCUACACACGUGCUACAAUGGUAUAUACANAAGGGCAGCUACCUGGCAACAGGAUNCGAANCUUAAAAGUAUAAUCUCAUUCGA